rnacentral:rRNA from 1 species
CGCUAGCUACAGGCUUAACACAUGCAAGUCGAGGGGCAGCAUGGUCUUAGCUUGCUAAGGCCGAUGGCGACCGGCGCACGGGUGAGUAACACGUAUCCAACCUGCCGUCUACUCUUGGACAGCCUUCUGAAAGGAAGAUUAAUACAAGAUGGCAUCAUGAGUCCACAUGUUCACAUGAUUAAAGGUAUUCCGGUAGACGAUGGGGAUGCGUUCCAUUAGAUAGUAGGCGGGGUAACGGCCCACCUAGUCUUCGAUGGAUAGGGGUUCUGAGAGGAAGGUCCCCCACAUUGGAACUGAGACACGGUCCAAACUCCUACGGGAGGCAGCAGUGAGGAAUAUUGGUCAAUGGGCGAGAGCCUGAACCAGCCAAGUAGCGUGAAGGAUGACUGCCCUAUGGGUUGUAAACUUCUUUUAUAAAGGAAUAAAGUCGGGUAUGCAUACCCGUUUGCAUGUACUUUAUGAAUAAGGAUCGGCUAACUCCGUGCCAGCAGCCGCGGUAAUACGGAGGAUCCGAGCGUUAUCCGGAUUUAUUGGGUUUAAAGGGAGCGUAGAUGGAUGUUUAAGUCAGUUGUGAAAGUUUGCGGCUCAACCGUAAAAUUGCAGUUGAUACUGGAUAUCUUGAGUGCAGUUGAGGCAGGCGGAAUUCGUGGUGUAGCGGUGAAAUGCUUAGAUAUCACGAAGAACUCCGAUUGCGAAGGCAGCCUGCUAAGCUGCAACUGACAUUGAGGCUCGAAAGUGUGGGUAUCAAACAGGAUUAGAUACCCUGGUAGUCCACACGGUAAACGAUGAAUACUCGCUGUUUGCGAUAUACAGCAAGCGGCCAAGCGAAAGCGUUAAGUAUUCCACCUGGGGAGUACGCCGGCAACGGUGAAACUCAAAGGAAUUGACGGGGGCCCGCACAAGCGGAGGAACAUGUGGUUUAAUUCGAUGAUACGCGAGGAACCUUACCCGGGCUUAAAUUGCAGAUGAAUUACGGUGAAAGCCGUAAGCCGCAAGGCAUCUGUGAAGGUGCUGCAUGGUUGUCGUCAGCUCGUGCCGUGAGGUGUCGGCUUAAGUGCCAUAACGAGCGCAACCCUUGUUGUCAGUUACUAACAGGUCAUGCUGAGGACUCUGACAAGACUGCCAUCGUAAGAUGUGAGGAAGGUGGGGAUGACGUCAAAUCAGCACGGCCCUUACGUCCGGGGCUACACACGUGUUACAAUGGGGGGUACAGAGGGCCGCUACCACGCGAGUGGAUGCCAAUCCCAAAAACCUCUCUCAGUUCGGACUGGAGUCUGCAACCCGACUCCACGAAGCUGGAUUCGCUAGUAAUCGCGCAUCAGCCACGGCGCGGUGAAUACGUUCCCGGGCCUUGUACACACCGCCCGUCAAGCCAUGGGAGCCGGGGGUACCUGAAGUGCGUAACCGCGAGGAGCGCCCUAGGGUAAAACUGGUGACUGGG